GAUGAACGCUGACAGAAUGCUUAACACAUGCAAGUCUUUGGCGAAGCUGUGCUUGCACAGCCUAGCCAAGGCGGACGGGUGAGGAACGCGUAAGGAACUUGCCCUGCAGUCAGGGAUAACAGACGGAAACGACUGAUAAGACCUGGUAAAGUCAGGCGGACUCAUGUCCAGCCUGAUGAAAAGAGAUGCUGCAGGAGAGCCUUGCGUCCUAUUAGCUUGUUGGUGGGGUAACGGCCCACCAAGGCGAUGAUAGGUAGCCGGCCUGAGAGGGUGGACGGCCACAAGGGGACCGAGAUACGGCCCUUACUCCUCCGGGAGGAAGCAGGGGGGCAUAUUGGACAAUGGGGGCAACACUGAUCCAGCAAUUCUGUGUGCACGAUGAAGGUUUUCGGAUUGUAAAGUGCUUUCAGCAGGGAAGAAAAAAAUGACGGUACCUGCAGAAGAAGCGACGGCUAAAUACGUG
rnacentral:rRNA from 1 species